rnacentral:rRNA from 1 species
CCCUUAGAUGUUCUGGGCCGCACACGCGCUACACUGAAGGAGGCAGCGUGUACUCCUGGAUCGAAAGAUUUGGGUAACCCGCGAAUCUCCUUCGUGCUAGGGAUUGAGGUUUGCAAUUAUCCUUCAUGAACGAGGAAUUCCCAGUAAGUGCAAGUCAUAAGCUUGCGCUGACUACGUCCCUGCCCUUUGUACACACCGCCCGUCGCUACUACCGAUUGAAUGAUUUAGUGAGGACUUCGGACUGGGACCGAUGCGGCUUUCGGGCUGCGUCGGUAUUCUGGAAAGAUGUCCUAACUGUAUCAUUUAGAGGAAGUAAAAGUCGUAACA